UUUCAUAUGGUGUGUCUGUGUGUUCUUGUAUGUGUAUAAAUGUGUGUUGUACAUACAGUAAGCGUCUGUAGUAUACUACCUGAUUCAUUUAUUAUUUUAAAAAAUAAACUUGGCUAGAAAUAUAAAAUAGGGGCAAUUGCCUAUAUACCCCUGAAAAAUUCCCGAUUUUCUUUCUUAGCUUCCAAAUCUUUCUAAUACACCCUUGGAGUUAAGUUCCGUUAGUGAGUUGCCGUUAUCUUUGAAAAAUUACCAUUUUGCCCAUUCCAAUAUAUUCUUGUACUGUAACUAACUUUUCUUAUAUACCCUUCAUAUAGUAAAUACUUUUCUUAUUUCCCUUUCAAAUAUUAAUUAAUUAAUUAAGCACAGCCAGAUGAAUGGAUGAAAUCGAUUGCAUCUAAACUAGCCUUAGUGGCUGGAGGCAUAGUUAGUUAAUUUGGAUUCGGCAAAAAUUCGGUACGGAUAAAAUUCGGAUAAAAUCCGUCUUUUAAUUUUUAAAUUCGUUGAAAAAUACGGCUAAAAAACGGAUUCGGCAAUUAUUCAGAUACGUGAUUUAUACAGGUAUUAUACGUUCACCAAUUAAAAAUUUGGGAUAAAAAAUUCGGCUACAUAAUAAAUAUAUAAUAAUUAAUAUACUAUAUAUAUUAUUAUUAUUAUAAUUUUUAUAUAUAGAUUAAAUAUAUUUAAAAUUAUAAUAAACAUAUAUUAAUAAUAUAUAAGAAUUAUAUAUUUAAAAAUAUUAAUAAACUCA
rnacentral:lncRNA from 1 species